UCCGGUUUGGCACCGGCAGUCCCCCGAGAGUCCUCAGCGCCUUGCGGCCUGUUAGCAACACGGGGCGGGGGUUGCGCUCGUUGCGGGACUUAACCCAACAUCUCACGACACGAGCUGACGACAGCCAUGCAGCACCUGUGCAUGGGCUCCGAAGAGAGGCCGGCGUUUCUGCCGGCUGUCCCAUGCAUGUCAAGCCUAGGUAAGGUUCUUCGCGUUGCUUCGAAUUAAGCCACAUGCUCCGCCGCUUGUGCGGGCCCCCGUCAAUUCCUUUGAGUUUCAGCCUUGCGGCCGUACUCCCCAGGCGGGGCACUUAAUGCGUUAGCUCCGACACCGAAUGCGUCUAUACACCCGGCAUCUAGUGCCCAUCGUUUACAGCGUGGACUAC
rnacentral:misc_RNA from 1 species